rnacentral:rRNA from 1 species
GACAGAGGGUGCAAACGUUGUUCGGAAUUACUGGGCGUAAAGCGCGUGUAGGCGGCUAGGUAAGUCGGGCGUGAAAUCCCACGGCUCAACCGUGGAAGUGCACUCGAAACUGCAUAGCUAGAGUCCUGGAGAGGAAGAUGGAAUGCUUGGUGUAGAGGUGAAAUUCGUAGAUAUCAAGCGGAACACCGGUGGCGAAGGCGGCCUUCUGGACAGUGACUGACGCUGAGACGCGAAAGCGUGGGGAGCAAACAGG